rnacentral:miRNA from 1 species
CAUCAUUGCUUCCCUCUACGA